AGGAUAAUAGUUAAUAAUAACAUUUAAUUUGCAAUUAAAAAGUAUUGGGAUAUCAAUUUAUCUUA
rnacentral:tRNA from 1 species